CCUACGGGGGGCUGCAGUGAGGAAUCUUGCGCAAUGGGGGAAACCCUGACGCAGCGACGCCGCGUGCAGGACGAAGGCCUUCGGGUUGUAAACUGCUUUUAAGAAGGAAGAAGUUCUGACGGUACUUCUUGAAUAAGCCCCGGCUAACUACGUGCCAGCAGCCGCGGUAAUACGUAGGGGGCGAGCGUUGUCCGAAGUUACUGGGCGUAAAGCGCGCGUAGGCGGGCUAUUAAGUCGGAUGUGAAAUCUCCACGGCUCAACCGGGAAACUGCAUCCGAAACUGGCAGCCUUGAGGUAUGGAGAGGGAAGUGGAAUUCCUGGUGUAGCGGUGAAAUGCGUAGAUAUCAGGAGGAACACCCGUGGCGAAGGCGGCUUCCUGGCCAUAUCCUGACGCUGAGGUGCGAAAGCUAGGGGAGCGAACGGGCUUAGAUACCCCGGUAGUC
rnacentral:rRNA from 1 species